UACGGGGGGGGGCAAGCGUUGUUCGGAAUUACUGGGCGUAAAGGGCUCGUAGGUGGCCAACUAAGUCAGACGUGAAAUCCCCUCGGCUUAACCGGGGAACUGCGUCUGAUACUGGAUGGCUUGAAUUCGGGAGAGGGAUGCAGAAUUCCAGGUGUAGCGGUGAAAUGCGUAGAUAUCGGGAGGAACACCAGUGGCGAAGGCGACUUCCUGGCCUGUUCUUGACGCUGAGGCGCGAAAGCUAGGGGAGCAAACGGG
rnacentral:rRNA from 1 species